UAAAUAUUCCUUAGUUUAUUAUUUGAAUUAUUGUGAUUUAAUUUAAGUCGUAUGUUAGGGAAGAUUGUUCAACGUUCGAUAUUCUUAUUUAAAUUUGUAAGGUCUUAAAGUCUUGUGCAUUUAAAUCAAAUCGCGUAUCCACAGUUCUUUUCAUUUGCAAGUUCUCACUUUUCAAAUGAAUCUCUCCUUGGAAGUCAAGGCGAGCCUCGAGUGGCAUCGGUGAAUAUCCCAAGUCCCUUUAUGGUAAUCACGGGGCACACGCUCACGAAGGCGAACGUUGACAGAAUCUUCUGUCCUUACUACCACACCGAUCGCGGUGCGUUCACACCAGGCUUAUUUCCACGCCGGAAUGAUGCUGAUAAUAAGACCACGCGUCAUCAUCGCAUUUUUGCACUUUUACGUCUGAUGCAGGUGGCUUCAUACGUCACGAACUUGGACGAAGUUGGACGUGCAUGGAGAAACGAGAAAGUGGGGAAAUUCGUAAUCCCAUUCAUUAAUUUCUUGCGUUACUUUUUCUUCGUGAUUUCUUUGUAACGCUAAAACUGCCGAGCAGUUAAACUGACUUUUUGAAAUUCCUUUAUAGAAACUCUAAGAGUGCAUUCAUUGAUGCUUUAACUGAUUUACAAUCCAGUUCGCCUAUUGCUAAAUCAAUUUCUUUAAUAAUUUUUCAAAGAAACAUCUGCUACCUUUUUAAUAAUUGCGAGGGAAAGAAAUCAGAAAUGGGUCAUUUUGACCCGUUUGGUAGUUUUAGUGUUAAUACAGUUACCAGUUUUAUGUACAUAACAAAGGUAUCGUAUUUGUUCUAAGUCCCAAAUACAGCUACUGUUAAACUGUAAUUUAAUUCUUGGCAUCGGACAAAAUCGGAUCAAAAAUAGUUUCAAUUAGAAAGAGACAAUAACAUUGAAAUUACUUUGUUGCUAUGUUUGUAUGAUAGAUGUAAGAAUAUUUUGUGUUCUUCGAGAAGUAAAAAAUCCGAAUGAAAAAUUAUUUUUGGUUACGUAUUAUUGAAAUUCAAAUGCUCGUAAUUAUAUGAUUGCGUGCUGGGGUAAGUCGGGGAGAGAUGGAUCACUUUUUUAAAAAGAACAAAUACAUCAUGAAUAUUAUAUAACGAAACAUAAAAUAUGCGUAUAAGAAUAAAUAUACUUAUAUAAGAAGAUAAAAAAUUAUAUAAAAAAUUGAAAAUAUUUGACCAUCUUAAUAAGAUCGGGCCAUCUAAUCUACAGAGCCAUAUCACUCGGAGUUAUACUAUGCCUAAUCAUCUGAGUAUUAUACUGGUAAUAAAACUAAAUUUCAUAAUUUAUUUUACAAACAAAAUCGAUCAUCCGUUUGUAUUUCUCAAAUUGAAUACUUUGAAGUCUCAAAUGUCAAUGAUUUUCUAAUUAUCCUAAGCACCUAUUACCAUACACUUAUUAUUACAUAGUUAAUUAUAAUCCAUACACUUAGUAUUACAUAAUUAAUUAUAAUCCAUUAAUUAUCAAUAUUAACUUAUUAACUAUUUAUUGUAUAAUUCUUCCAAGCAAUGAAUAACAUUUCAAGCAUCAAGAAAAGGUAAAGAAAUAUCCUUGAAGGAAAUGUAGGUAAACGGUCCUUAUUUGGCAUACUUUUAUUUAAUCUUUUCAAACCCGAAGCACAAUAUAAUGUACACUGUUUUACUAGUUCAGUAUCUAACAGAAUAUUAAGACUGUGAUGAGCAGCCAUAUAUAAUAAUACACCUUUGCUUCGAGCCUAUUUGUAUCAGAAAAGUAGUUUACUAUCUCUAUUUUAUUCGAAAUAAUGUGGUGACUAAUGGUGCAUUGAAUGAGGGUUCAUUGUUAUUAUAUAAGUAAACAUAAUCCUGUAUAAAAAUCAGGUUUUAGUUACUUUCUAAAAACUGUUAAUUUACGUACUAUGGUGGAGGGGGUAAAUGCACCCCAGUUUUUAGUAAGUUUGACUUUCAACCCAUAUAUCUUUAAUUUGUUUUAUAAUACUUAUAAUAAAUACAAAGGAAUUAGUGAAAUAAAGUCCUAAUAUAAAAAGAUUUAAAAUUUAUUUAUAGUAAUGGUACAAUGUUAAAUGUUAAAAAAUGAUAUUAUUGAACAAAUGUAUUAAUCAAAAUAAAUGUAUUAAUAAGAGCCCGUUUAUGCACUUACCCCGCUCCACCUUAUCCGAAAUAAAUUCCAUUCUUCACUCUCUUAACUUUAGAAGUCAUUUUUUAUGCGUCAUUUACAUUGUAUAAUUUCAAAAGUGAUUUGAUAUCUCUUGUAUAUGCACAUUUUUUAUGAUAAAAUAUCAUUACUGAUGGUACGUUGAAUGACGAUUCAUUGUUAUUAGAUAUGUGAACAGAAUUUCGUACAAAAUCAGAUCUGAAGGAGUUCAUCGGUGAUUAUACGUAUUCAGUGAGACUGUUAAAAUGUCGAAAAAACAGGUGCCGCUGUCAUGACAUUCUUUUCUGUUUGUAAUAACCUGUUCAUUGUUAUGUAAGCGAGUAAAAAUGUAUGCUGGUCUCAGUUGAAAACAAAAAACAGUCUCCUUCGUUUGUGAUUCAAAUGCGAGAUCAGAAAAAGUGCUCACCGUUUCAAUUAACGGCAGUUGUUAAUUGGCUGACAAUCCAAAAUUGGUAAACGUUGAAAUCCGACACCAUUGCGAAUUGCGAAAUUCAGAGUGGCGUCCCAGAAACAUGACAAUCAAAAAUUCUGCUUUCGCUGCAUGUCGAAAUGAUGAAAUUCAAUUUACAAAUAGAUAUUUAUCGCAGGACAACGUGAAUUAUCGUUCAAUUAAAUGGCUUCCUAAUUGAUUCUGAUUCUCGUUAGUGGCCGACAAUCAUUGAACUUAGUUAUACGAAUGUAAGUAAGAAGUGAAAUAAUUAGAGGUAACUCCUAAUUGCUUCGUUAGCAUGCUUGCUGGGGCAAUUGGCAAAGUCUUAAAAAUGCCCGUGAAGGAAAUUGUGAGACAGUGAAAUCGCGAUUUAACACAUUUUCCAUGGUUCUUUUAAUCAAUUAUUGAGUGUAUUCAUUCGUGUCAACAAGCUUACUUACGAAAUAACGAAAGACUGUGCGUUAUGGUCGUAACAUUUUAAUUAAACAGCUUUAACUUUUGGGUAGAGAAAUGUCAGGCAACCUAUAUAGAGGUUUACCAGUUUACUGUCCAACAGAAACAACUAACAAAUUUGCACAGCACUUGUUGAUGACACAAUCGCGAUUAAUGCACGAGAAGCGUUCGCCGAAGAUAUGACUACUGAAAUUUUCUGCAAAAUAAUAUAAUAAUGAACCAAUUUUAUUUAUGCGCGUUCAGCUGAAUCAAUUGGAUUUAAUUAAUUUAACAUUCUAACUGAAGAUACUAAAUGAAACAUAAGAAAAUUACAUACUUUAUUGACAUUGGAAACCGUUAAUCACGUUCAAGAUACUAAUCUAAAUUAAGCAAACUAUAUAAAAUUUUGUUUAGUUUUAUUAUACUAUGACUCACUUUUUAAUCUUGAUAUAUGAUUAAAAGUAUUUGUUGAAUAAAUGGCAACAAUAAAUUCUAUGAAGGAAUAUAGGUCAGUAUCAUUCGCAAAUUUAAAUGAGAAUGUCAAAAGAGAAACUCUUGGUGAUCCCUCGUGAAGAAAGUAUACACGUGUGACAGCUACCAAAGGUGACGCAAGUAGAGAAAAAAUGGACAACCGAAUCGAAGAAACGAUGUGUAUGUAACUGACAGAAUGACAUAUGGGUCGAGUCAGCGUUCAAUGAGAGAUGCGGGCUUC